CGGUAACGGGUCCAGCUUGCUGGAUGCCGACAGCGGCGGACGGGUGAGUAAUGCAUAGGAAUCUGCCCGAUAGUGGGGGAUAACCUGGGGAAACCCAGGCUAAUACCGCAUACGUCCUACGGGAGAAAGCGGGGGCUCUUCGGACCUCGCGCUAUCGGAUGAGCCUAUGUCGGAUUAGCUGGUUGGUGAGGUAACGGCUCACCAAGGCGACGAUCCGUAGCUGGUCUGAGAGGAUGAUCAGCCACACCGGGACUGAGACACGGCCCGGACUCCUACGGGAGGCAGCAGUGGGGAAUAUUGGACAAUGGGGGCAACCCUGAUCCAGCCAUGCCGCGUGUGUGAAGAAGGCUUUCGGGUUGUAAAGCACUUUCAGUGGGGAAGAAGGCCUGCCGGUCAAUACCCGGCAGGAACGACAUCACCCACAGAAGAAGCACCGGCUAACUCCGUGCCAGCAGCCGCGGUAAUACGGAGGGUGCGAGCGUUAAUCGGAAUUACUGGGCGUAAAGCGCGCGUAGGCGGCUAAGUAAGCCGGUUGUGAAAGCCCCGGGCUCAACCUGGGAAUGGCAUCCGGAACUGUUUGGCUAGAGUGCAGGAGAGGAAGGUAGAAUUCCCGGUGUAGCGGUGAAAUGCGUAGAGAUCGGGAGGAAUACCAGUGGCGAAGGCGGCCUUCUGGACUGACACUGACGCUGAGGUGCGAAAGCAUGGGUAGCAAACAGGAUUAGAUACCCUGGUAGUCCAUGCCGUAAACGAUGUCGACUAGCCGUUGGGUCCCUUGAGGACUUAGUGGCGCAGUUAACGCGAUAAGUCGACCGCCUGGGGAGUACGGCCGCAAGGUUAAAACUCAAAUGAAUUGACGGGGGCCCGCACAAGCGGUGGAGCAUGUGGUUUAAUUCGAUGCAACGCGAAGAACCUUACCUACCCUUGACAUCCUGCGAACCCUCCGGAGACGGAGGGGUGCCUUCGGGAGCGCAGAGACAGGUGCUGCAUGGCUUCGUCAGCUCGGUUGUGAAAGUUGGGUA
rnacentral:rRNA from 1 species